GCUUUUCUGAAAAAGCAAUGGCAGAAGCCCUGUAUGAGAAAAAAGGCUUAUACCUGGCACUCGACUUCACCUCUAUAAAUGAAAUGGCCGCGCCGCUUCCGUCUGCCAAACGCCUGGGCACCCACGUUGGUGGGAACAAAGUUGCUGUGUCCCAGUCCUCCUGACCGACUCAGGAAGUCAGCCAAGCGAUGGGUCACACAGGUGGCUGUGUUGCAUGCCCGCUUUUGUGCUGUUGCAUUACUUGUAAGAAUAGAAAAGUUAGUAAAGACAGUUCAUCAUGAUACUCAAGAUCAGAUUAGACUACAUGACAAACUUUGAAGUAUAUAUUUCUGGUAUCAUCAACAACACAUUAAGCACAAUGGAAAUAUGCAGAGGGAAAUAUUCCAAUAGUUAGUUAGUCCAAUAGUUGAGUGUAUAUUGUAAACAGUCAUGCUUACCAUUUUCUCCUUUCCUUUUUUUUUAUUUAAUAGGUAAUGUAUGUUUUCAAUCUUCAAUGAAUUCAAAAUAGCUUCCAUGUAAAAGAUGAAUUUAUUAUAGGGGAAAGAUAAUUAACAUGAAGAGAAAAAUUAUUUUACAUUAGAAAGGUUUUUAGAUGUUAUUAUAUUUUAUUGUAUUGUAGAAAACUGCAAGUAACGCAAUUUUGUUCCAAAUGUUCAGGUCUCUGUCAGAAUCUAAUGUCUACCAGUGGAAAAUUAAAGCAACAAUGUAGACAACUGG